rnacentral:rRNA from 1 species
UUUAACAAAAACAUGUCCCUUUGGGUUAGAUUUGGGGUCGGGCCUGCCCACUGACAGUAGUUGAAGGGCCGCGGUAUUUUGACCGUGCAAAGGUAGCAUAAUCAUUAGUCUUUUAAUUGAGGGCUGGAAUGAAUGGUUUGACGAAAUAUUAACUGUCUCUUUAUGAUAAGUGGAAUUUAACUUUUGAGUCAAAAGGCUUAAAUGGAUAUAAAAGACGAGAAGACCCUAUAGAUCUUUAUAUAAUUGUGUAACUAUAAAAUUGGUUGUAUUAAUUAUAGUUAUGUUAUUGUAUUUUGUUGGGGUGACAUGAAGAUAAAAGUAACUCUUUAUAAUGGAAACAUUGAUUUAUGGUUGGUUGAUCCGUUAUUAACGAUUAUAAGAUAAAGUUACCUUAGGGAUAACAGCGUAAUUUUUUUUGAGAGUUCAUAUCGACAAGAAAGAUUGCGACCUCGA